AUAGUUCAUAUUCUUUUUACCUAGGAAUUUGGCUAGCUUAAUGUUCGAAUGUCGUGUGUAUAUAUUCUCAAUUAAGUGAAAAUGAGCUCCGUAUUCCUACUCAAAUAGAGGAGCUAAUGCAUUAUUUUCUAUUACUAGAAUGUAAUUUUUUUGUCCUAAUUCCAGUGUCAUCACAGAACAAAUCAGGAUGCAUGAUAGAGGUUGGUGUCAUCACGGGAUCAGUGGCCAUCAUGCAAGUAGUGCUUGCUCAUUAGCUUGCAAAAUUACAGAGAAGAAAGCUCGGUACGUGAAACAAGAUAUAUGCAAUCUUGAUUACUUAACUCCUGUUUCAUUGUAGGACUUCAUGUUUUGUAAGCCUCAUGAUCAAGAUUCCUUAGCUCCAGCAGGAUAUAAAUGAGGCAGUGUUAGGCAUGAGACUUGAGCUCUCAUUACUUCAUUCUCAUUGUCAAAUGGUUAUAAAUUUCUCUAGUUCCUUUUUGACAAGUUGUGCUAGGAGUAUUUCAUAAAUACAGAAUAGGCAGCCAUAAUUCUGCGUUGGUGAUAAAUUGUGCUAGGAGUACUUAAUUGUAGAUUUUCUUCGACUGCUUCCUAUGAUAAAAAUCCAAAAACUGCUAGGAGUAUAUCCGUGCUUCCUAUCACUACCGCUGAUAAAUUCCAGUAUGAUAAAUUGUGCUAGGAUUUAGUAUCUUCUUUUUGUACUGAAAGCCUGUCAUAUACUCCUAGACUUGAUAACUGGUUAUGCUUUUGCUUUUACUAAAAGCUUUCUGUCAGUCUAGGAGUAUAUAUUAGAUUUUGUUGAUUAACUAUUGAUCAAAACAAACAAUUAAUCAACUAUGGAUACUUUUCUGCAUGCCAGAUGGUAAGCUCGAUUGUUAAUUAUGGAGUAAUUAUAUAUGCCACAUAGUAAGGUUGAUUUAUUCCUUUGGAACAAUCACCACAUUUCUGUAUUCAAUUUGUCACCACAUUGCAUUUUCUGUAUUAGACUAUUUGUCCCUGGAUUAUGCCCUGAAUCAGGAUACACACUGAUUGCUGCUACACAAUCUUUGAAUCAAUAUUGUAAUCCUGACUUUAUAUGUCUUUAAUAUUUGACAACUAAUGUCAUAUCAGAGAGUUAACUGAAACCUGACUUUGGACAGUUAACUGAAUAUACACAUGAGCACUUUCAACUGUCAAAUUUUACUACUACUACUUCCAGUGAUUUUGCUUAAACAGUUUUUGUGAUUUUGACAGAAAUGCAAGAAUAAGGGUGAUAACCAAUGGUUUGUACCUGCAUUCUGAGCGGGAGCAUCACCUUCUGCAGGUGGGGUGCAAUCGAGUGGUGGAGUGGAAUUGAGAUCCAACAAAGUGUUGUUGGGCCAGAGCCGGAAACGAACCUGGUGGAGGCUUCGGAGCAACAACUCAUCUUGUUGGUGGCAGGAUCCUGGAGCAGCACCUCAACUAGACCGAGUUGUGUGUGCUUGCCGGAGCGUGUGUCUGCUUGACUGGCUGCAAGAGCCGGGCCAGAGUCAAAGAUUGACCUGGCUUCCUGCUGAUCUGGGGAUACUAGUGACCUGGGGAUCGAGGGGAGAUGGAUCUGGCCUGAGGAGGCGAUUAUGGGCGCAGCGACGGCCUGGGAUGGAGCUGGUGGCGCAGCAGCGACCUAAUGGAUCCGGCGUGGUGGGGCGGUGGUGGGGCGCUGGUGGGGCGCUGGUGGGCCGUCGAGGUUGGGCAGCGACGAUAUGCUCGAUGCCUUAGUUUCCAUGAUUCAAUUUUCGUUUCCCGUUUGUAACUUGAUCACUGUUUCCGCAGGGGCAGACAUGUCCAAUCGCUGUUGUUUGGAGUUUGUCGGAAAUUCCGAAAAAGGCUUAUAUUCUGGGGAGGGAGUACUAUUUCGUCCAGAAAGUUUAUUAUGAUGUAUACGAGUCGUCUUACCAGCCAUGUUCAUCGACAGCCAAUGGUUAUCCUCCACAAGGCUUAUGAUAUUACUGGUUAUACCAGAUACAAUUUGGUGCCAUGGGUUAUUUGCUAACGCCUGACAAGUGACAUUUGUCAAUUCUACCCGAUGUGGAGUUCAAGAGAGAAGGUUACACGUCAUUAAUGGAGCUCACCCAUGUACAGCAUAUCCUUGUCAUGGCAAUGACCUCCAUUCCCUGUUGACUAGUAAUUAUUGCCUGGCUCAUUCGACUUGGGGUCUACCCAACUGCACAUGGGCAAUGUUGCACCUUACUCGGCCACUUGUGCUAGUGGAAACAAAGAUUUCAGGAUGGGCAAUGUUGGUUUGUCCUUGUUCUUGAAGGAGUACCUCUCCAUGUCUUUCACAACCCUCCACUUUGCCAUCAAGACACCAAUUCGAGCACAGUUCCUUUGGAUGAAAAUUUUGUUAGCAAGGUUGUUGAUUUUGGCCUUGCACAUGCUUCAGGAACUGGUGAUAAGUUUGAAGCCAUGAACACAGAUAUAUGAGGAACUGCAGGGUACAUGGAUCCUGAAUAUGUGGUAACCCAGGAGCUGAUGGAGAAGAGUGACAUAUACAGCUACGACAUAGUGCUGCAUAUGUGGACACCAUCAUCCUCUCUCGACAAAAAUAUUGCGAACCAGGUAAUAACUUUCUCAACCUUAUUCGAUACAUA